CCUGUUAUAUGGCUAACAGUAGUCUAGGGAUAGUGCGACACCGGUAACGGUGUGGUGCGGAGCUUCCUGACAAUGAACCCCUGAUGAAAAUCAGUCAAUGAAAUCGUGAGAGGACAUUGGGAGAAAGUGAAUAGCACACCUUCAAGGGG
rfam:Mannheimia haemolytica PHL213 Ctg111, whole genome shotgun sequence.